UAUGGUACUUGUGGGAAAGCAGCCGCGGUAAAACGUAGGUCACAAGCGUUGUCCGGAAUUACUGGGUGUAAAGGGAGCGCAGGCGGGAAGACAAGUUGGAAGUGAAAUCUAUGGGCUCAACCCAUAAACUGCUUUCAAAACUGUUUUUCUUGAGUAGUGCAGAGGUAGGCGGAAUUCCCGGUGUAGCGGUGGAAUGCGUAGAUAUCGGGAGGAACACCAGUGGCGAAGGCGGCCUACUGGGCACCAACUGACGCUGAGGCUCGAAAGUGUGGGUAGCAAACAGG
rnacentral:rRNA from 1 species